GAUGUUGGGUUAAGUCCCGCAACGAGCGCAAUCCUUAUCCUUAGUUGCCAGCACGUCUGGGUGGGCACUCUAAGGAAACUGCCGGUGCUAAGCCGGAGGAAGGUGGGGAUGACGUCAAGUCCUCAUGGCCCUUACACCCUGGGCUACACACGUGCUACAAUGGCAGUGACAAUGGGUUAAUCCCCAAAAACUGUCUCAGUUCGGAUUGUCCUCUGCAACUCGAGGGCAUGAAGUCGGAAUCGCUAGUAAUCGCGUAACAGCAUGACGCGGUGAAUACGUUCCCGGGCCUUGUACACACCGCCCGUCAAGCCAUGGAAGCCGG
rnacentral:rRNA from 1 species